AGGGUGCAAGCGUUAUCGGAAUUACUGGGCGUAAAGCGUGCGCAGGCGGUUUUGUAAGUCUGUCGUGAAAGCCCCGGGCUUAACCUGGGAAUUGCGAUGGAGACUGCAAGGCUUGAAUCUGGCAGAGGGGGGUAGAAUUCCACGUGUAGCAGUGAAAUGCGUAGAGAUGUGGAGGAACACCGAUGGCGAAGGCAGCCCCCUGGGUCAAGAUUGACGCUCAUGCACGAAAGCGUGGGGAGCAAACAGGAUUAGAUACCCUGGUAGUCAAGGGCG
rnacentral:rRNA from 1 species